GCUCUGAUCACCAUGCAAAUCUUCCACCGGCGCCUUGCUCAGCUUUCAUAUCCCAAGGGUGCCUGGGAGGAAGGCAACAGGGACAGUGGACAUCACUGCACCACUUUCCACGACCCUGUGUGCCAACCUCAGCCACUUUGAAACAUGCUGAUGACUGAGGUCUGUUCACUUUCUUAAUUUCAAGCAGGAGAAGCAGGUUGGGGAGCCAGCCUCCCCAGCUAGAGGGGACAGAACUUGACUUGAGCAGGGGGGUACCUCCUAGGACCUGCUCCAUGUGCCUACUUCUUUACCCUUCUCUAGAGAGGGCUCUUGUCCUGUCAGAGCUGUUUUCUCCCUUCUCUUGUUUUUUCUUUUUCAAGACUGUUUCUCUGUGUUAGCCCUGGCUGUCCUGGAUCUCACUCUGUAGAUCAGGCUGACCUUGAGUUCAAAGCUCCAUCUGCCUCUACUUCUCACAUUACUGUGAUUAAAGGCAUAUACUACCACUGCCUGGUGCCCUUUUGUAUUUCUUAUUAAAGUCCUAAUGUCUGAUUAUAAAAACAGUCUGUGUGGGCUGGAGUGAUGGCUUACUCAGUAAAGCACUUGCCAUGGAAUCUGGGCAAUCUGAGUUUCAUUUUUAGCAUCCUGUAAAAAUCCCAAUUUGAUGGUGUACUUGUAAUGUCAGCAUGGAGAGGCAGAGAUAGGUAAGUUCCCCAAGACUCUUUGAACCGACAGCUUGGCCUCACUGGCACAUUCCAGGUCUCAGUGAGAGACCCUGCCUCAAAAUACAAAGAAAGAGCUGCUGAAGAGUGGGUCAGAGUUGACCUCUGAUCUCCGGAAGUAUAUGAUACACACCCGUGCAUGCACUCUUCCUUACAAAAUAAAAAGCAAAACAAAACCCCAACAGGUAUAUGGCCAUUUUAGAAAAAUUAGAAGAUUUAGAAAGCUAUACAUAAAAAAAAAUGACCUAAAGAAAAAUCUUUACUGUUCUGGGCACUAUCCCUAUCAAACCACUGUGUUCUUUGGCCAAGCCUUGGGGUGGACACUGUUUUGAGGUGGGUCCUGUUAUCUCCACUAGGUAGUGGAGUUUUGUGUCAGACUAACUGGGUCUUAAAGCUGUCUUUAAGGCCAUCAGGAGCUACUGACUUGCCUGCCUCAGCAGAGCAUAUCCUGAAGGUCGGGGUUAAGUCUCCUUCCCGAGCGAGUUGCCUUCCAGUGGGCCCCUGGACUCCUAGGUCCUCAGCGCUCAUCAGCUGCCAAGGACUCUGAGGGAAUGUCCUCUGACUGUGGCCCCGAAAGGUAGGGGAGGGGGAUGUGCUUAGGCUUAGGACAGGGUCCUGUUUCAGUCUGCCUUCACUGUUAGUAGCACUGUGCCACAUGGCACAGACUGGGCGAGCUUUAAAGGAAGGAGGUUGAUAUUGGUUCCCACUUCUGGGGAUCAUGGUUGAGCAGCCUUGUCUGAUGAUGGUUGUCUUGAUGGUAGAUCGUGAGGUAGUUGAUGAAGGUAUGACAUGGUGAGAAACUCUGUGUGUGUGUGUUAUUUUCUCUGUGUUCUACCUAUACAUCUAUCUAUGUAUAUAUGUAUCUAUCUAUCUACCUGGAGGCUGGAGAGAUAGCUUAGUGGUUAAGAACAUUUGUUGUUCUUGCAUAGUCCUGGAUUUAAAUUUUCAGCACCCACAUGGCAGCUCACAACAACCCAUAAAUCCAGUUUCAGAGGAUCCAACCUCUGAUAUACCAUGUCAGCCAGAGCAGACACGGCUGAAGGUGGUUUGAUCCCCGUAUGGAGAGGUGACAAUUGGGAAGAGAGAAAGAUCAACUUAACCAUGCAAGGAACAGGAAGUUAAAUACUGAACAGGGAAGGUAAAGGCAGGAAGUAGAUGUAGAGGGCAAAUCAAUGAAACCCAAACAUACCCAAAUUACGCUAAACACACACUGACAUGCCAAUUAAAAGGACAAAUUGGCUCCACUGGCAAAACCAAAACAGACACUGAAGAUCCAAACAGUCACAUGCCAACUACCGCGGAGGGAGACAGACACAGAGAAGACCGUGACAGACACUUGGACACUCUUGAGAGUGGAUGUGCAGGAAGAGAGCUCUGCCAGUGGAGAAGAAAGCACUCAGAAGAAAGUGACAGCAGCUGUAAAUUUGUAUUCUGCUAAUGUUAUGUUCCAAAGUUGAAAGCAAAAUUGUACCAAUUCAUAAGAACAAACAGGCUGACUCUCAGUUGUGACUGAACGUCUCUCAGUAACUGACGGGGCGAGCAGGCCAAAGGAGAGUCGGCUCAGAAGGGUGCAUAGCCACGCCAAAUCAAAUAAGCAAGUACAACCGGCAGGCUCUAUUUCUAGCACAAAGGGGUCUGUGCCUCAUUCUGUGCUUGGGUCAGAGCUUGGGUCUCUCAUUUGGAUGUAAGUGGUGUAGUGGAGAAGCAGGAAAUAAUCCGGAGCGCAUAUUUUGAUUUUAACAUAAGUGCUGAUUUGGGAGGGAGUUUUGUCAAAUUGUGUUUUUACAAUGUUUUUUUUUUUUUAAAUGAUGCUUUUUUGUAAAGUGUACAAAUGUGAUAUAAGAUUGGUUCUGCUACAUUCAGUUUCUAUAAAAGUGGUUCUAAAAUAUUGUACUGUCAAUCAUCUCAUGAUUAUUCUACUGUACACAUUACUGACUUUGUAUGUAAUAAUUAAUAUUAGAAGAAAAUAUAAUUUAUUUGAAU
rnacentral:lncRNA from 1 species